UACGUAGGAUCCGAGCGUUGUCCGGAUUUACUGGGUGUAAAGGGUGCGCAGGCGGACUGGUAAGUCAGAGGUGAAAUCUCGUCGCUUAACGACGAAACUGCCUUUGAUACUAUCAGUCUUGAGUCCGGUAGAGAUCUGUGGAAUUCCGAGUGUAGCAGUGAAAUGUGUAGAUAUUUGGAAGAACACCAGUGGCGAAGGCAGCAGAUUGGGCCGGUACUGACGCUCAGGCACGAAAGCAUGGGGAUCAAACAGG
rnacentral:rRNA from 1 species